CCUACGGGUGGCAGCAGUGAGGAAUCUUGGUCAAUGGACGAGAGUCUGAACCAGCCAAGUAGCGUGAAGGAUGACUGCCCUAUGGGUUGUAAACUUCUUUUAUCAAGGAAUAAAACGAGGCUCGUUAGCCUUUUUGCAUUUACUUUAUGAAUACGGAUCUGAUAACUCCGUUCCCGAAGCCGCGGUAAUAAUGAGGGUGCGAGCUUUAUCCGGAUGUAUUGGGUUUAAAGGGAGCGUAGAUGGGUUGUUAAGUCAGUUGUGAAAGUUUGCGGCGCAACCGUAAAAUGGCAAUGGAUACUGGCAGUCUUGAGGAUAGUUGAGGGAGGCGGAAGUCGUGGUGUAGCGGUGAAAUGCUUAGAGAUCACGAAGAACCCCGAUUGCGAAGGCAGCUUACUAAACUGUGACUGACAUUGAUGCUCGAAAGUGUGGGUAUCAAACAGGAUUAGAGACCCUAGUAGUC
rnacentral:rRNA from 1 species